rnacentral:rRNA from 1 species
UAGAGGAAGGAGAAGUCGUAACAAGGUUUCCGUAGGUGAACCUGCGGAAGGAUCAUUGUCGAGUCCCUGAUCGAAAGACCGCGAACUUGUAAACGGAUGGCUCGGGGUGGUGGGGCCAGCCCCUAUCUCCCCGGGGCCCCGCCUCCUCGUUUGGGGCUUCGCCUCAGACGCGGACGGCGGGGGACUGACAAAACCCCGGCGCGGCCAGCGCCAAGGAUCAUACAAUUGGAGUUAGAGUGUGCCGCGGCCCUUGCGGCCGUAGGUGCUCCCUAAAGAAUCUUUAAGACUCUCGGCAACGGAUAUCUCGGCUCUUACAUCGAUGAAGAACGUAGCGAAAUGCGAUACUUGGUGUGAAUUGCAGAAUCCCGUGAACCAUCGAGUCUUUGAACGCAAGUUGCGCCCGAGGCCUUUGGGUCGAGGGCACGCCUGCCUGGGCGUCACGCCUCGCAUCGGACCGCACCCUCACUCCCCUCGCGGGCUGGGUUUGGCUUCGGAGAUUGGCCUUCCGUGCACUCGCGCGCGGUGGGCUUAAGAGCGGGCUGCCGGCCGCGCAGGCACGACGAGUGGUGGACCUUGUGCCAACAGGAUGUCGUGUCCCAGGCCGGUGAAGAGCCUUGUACUCCCGGAAUGGGCGUGUAGGUGCCCUCCCGUCUGGGAGGGUGCGCCGCCUCGCACCGUGACCCCAGGUCAGGCGGGGACACCCGCUGAGUUUAAGCAUAUCAUA